AUGUCAGACCGACUACAUUGUCUGCUAACGAAGAACCAGCACCAUCAACCAAACCAAACCAAACCACCAGUAGCCCCUCGUACAUAGAAGAUUACUUCUCAGUUUUGGAUUGGCUUGCAAAUCCAGGCCUCGUUUUGCCUCUCCUCACUUUUACCUCCAACCCACCAACUUGGCAGCAGCAGCAGCUUUCACUCGCAAGAAGCAGAAUCUGUUCUAGGGAAGAAAGCCAAACCACCCAUCAGAUCGUGUUACCCGAUCUGACAGACAGUCCGCCGUCUGUGUCACUCUUCUCGAACGUACGAAAUAUCAUUUUCCCAUUUGAAUAUUCAGCACUCUUCACCCACCUUAAUCAUUUAUUGUCUUCUUCCGGAGAAGAACCUGAGAGGAUUCCAAAUCCAAUAAAAUCUCGAAAAGAUUCACAAAACCAAAUAGUGAAAGUAGGAAGAGACGACACUUCACAUUUGAUCAGAGAAAGUAGGCAUUUGCCGAUUUAGUCAGUCACUCAGUUAGUUUGGGUUUAGGGUUGGAGCGAGCGAGUAGUGGAGCAGGGCAGAGGAAAAAGUUUGGUGGGUGAAAGUGGUUCAGAAACUUGCAGGAAGCAACAGUUUCUCCGUUCCUGUCUUUUCUCAUUGGGAGGAAGGAAGGCAAUAAACCAGUCAAACUUCACCCCAGAUUCGAGUUAAUAUACGUUCUCACUUUGUUAUAAAAAAGCGAUACGACUACUUUUCAGAAUUCUAGUGAAUGUUCAUAUUAAAAUUCUUGAAAACUGUAGCUGAAAAGUAAGAAAAAGAAAAAGAAAAACUGAUAAAAAGUACAUACAUAAUCCGGGAUAAAAUUUCGUACACUUCAUGUCAAAAAUUUGCUGCACUCUUAGAAAUCUAGUAUUAAAAUAAUACCAAGCAGUAAUCAUAUAUUACUCUAACAAAGUGGUAGCGAUAAGUCGGUACUAAAGUUUUACCAUAUCGGCAACAUAUUUUUAUUGACCGGUAUAAUUUUAAUACCAAGCGGGAGUAAGUUUAACACCGAGAAACCAAUACCUGCAUGACUAAACCAGAUUUUUAAUAGUGUGGUUGAGUCGCGUAUUGACUUGGUAAUAACUUCCUACCGGGUUGGUAAUACAUAAUUUGUUUCUGAGUAUUAAUUUUUCUUUUCAUUACUCAACUCAACAUUACCAAACGGUAAUUCUAGUAAAGUCAUACACCGGUCAGUAAUGAUUUAAUACCUUAAUUUUCUAAGAGUGUACUUGAAGAUUUCUCUCUUCAUGGAAUAAUUUCCGACCAAGGAGUUCGUAAAGGGCAAACUUAUUUCUAAAAUUGAACACUUCACAAUUUCUCCGAGAGUUACUUCACAAAUACAUACGCUUGCUUUCACUUGACAAAUUAAUCCAUUACUCGGAAAGAACACGAUUUUCCACUCAUUACCAAGAUUCAUCAUCCAUGUUUGUUUGUAUCCACGCCAUUUAGCAGGAGAAUGGUGCGUGCAUUUUGAGGAGAAAGUAGUCAGGAGAAAGCACUAGAUUUCUUGUUCAGGAAGGAAAAGAGCUCUCGUCGUCGUGGUCCUGGUUGCUUUUCUAGCUGAGACUUUCUCUUUUUCCUGCAUGUUCAUUAUUUAGUUGGGGAUAAUGAACGAGCCCAUUCCAUUAGAACUAAUCCUCAUCGUUGGGGGUGCGGCCGUGUCCUUCCUCAUGUUCAUUUUGAUAUGCUUCUGCACCCGGAACCGAAUAGAUGACCGUAAUUAUAACCAGCAAGGUCACCACACAUAUGUUGGAGCCAUCGGUUGGUUUCAGCGAUACCGGGAUCGGAACACAAGCAAAACUGAUGAAGAAGUUUCCCCGUUCGACAAUCGACUGUGACGUGCUUCUAGGAAACGGGGAAAAGCGAACUUGGCAACUUUUACUACUACACAACUUUCCUUUUUGAUCACAAUUUCAUCUUCUGACCAACACCGUCACUUCUGACCAAUAUGUAUGGACCGAAUUUGAUUGAUUAAUUUCUUCAUCUUGAUGAAGGAUGAUCAGCAGAGUGGAACUUGGAAAGGAACACAGAAUCACUUUGUCAGAUCAUAUAAUGAGAAAGGAGCCAUGGAUUCAAGUAAUUACGCAGAACGUCGUCUCCGAUGUCAGCGUUUUUUACAUACUUGGCGUCGACGAGUCUUUGUCGAACCUUAAUUGUAAUGAAGCAUUACUCGUCUAAUAUGUAUGUUUGUGUGAUUGGGUAUAAUAAUUAAGCGAUAAUUUUGAUUCGACAUUGAGAUUGUGCGAAUAUGUUUUAAGCUGGAGAAAGUAGAAAUCGCAUUAUUUUGGUUACUAUUGUGCUCAUCUUUGAAUUACAAAAUCUGAUUAUCAAUUAUUGUUUUAAGUUAAUUAUUAAAAGUAAUAAUUUCCGCUUUAUACAUGAAAUAGAUUAACUAACUAUCUGUUUUUUUAUAUGUUAAGCAAUCUUAGAAUUUGAUAUCUGACUUAUUUUGCAUUUCUUAUUGUAAUAUUGAAAAACAGAAUUGUAUGUGAUUAUAAAAUGUAUUCACUAAUCAAGAAGAGACAAGUGUCACGUGUGUCUAAAUGUUUAAGAGAUGCAUUUAUUCCUAGAUUAUGAUAAAAUACUUGUUAAUCGUAACAUUACAAAUUUUUAAAUGAUUAAUAUUUCCAUUGCAAUCUGAAGUUGCAUCUCUUUUCUGGUAUUUGUGCUAGUACUCUUAAGCAAUUAAUGUAUAUUCUAAUUCAAGCUUUCCUUAUGUAUAUCAAAUCUUAUGAAAUGCACACUCUUUACUGUAAAGAAAAUAUGUAUACACUCUAAGAAAUUUUAUCACCAGCGCGGUGGUCAUAUGUGACUCUACCGGCAGGUGGCAGAAGACCACCGGAGGGUGGAUGCCCAUCACCAGCUUAGUGAUGAUCAAUCACCGUGCGGUGGUGCAGUUGUCACCGUUCGGUGGUUGCAGCUGUCACCAUUCCGGUAGAGUCACAUAUGACCACCGCGCGGUGAUAGUUAUCACCAGGUUUCUUAGAGUGUACAUACAUUGAGUAUUUGUAUAUUAUAUACAUGUAUACCGUCAAAACACUGCACUUGUGAUCUCCAAAUUUCAACUCUUCAAAAAAUUCAGAAAUUAAAAUUGUAUUAUUUUUAAGAUGGUAUGGAAUACUUGUAGUUAGUCUUUGUACAAAAAAUGAAUACCAGAUGAACAGAAUUAUUUGAGUAUAAAUUUAUGUAUAUAUUUUAUUGUGCCGUCCGUUUGUCAUUCUAGACGAAUUCCAAAUUAUUUCGAGUUAUGCACUGUGGUAUGUAAGUGUGCAUUAUAUUUCUCAUUAUUAUAUCCAUGUUACAUAAAUUUUACUCUAAUGAUACAUUUUAUGAAGGUGCAAAUGUGAUUUACUUAUUUAAAUAUAUUAAAGUUAUUGUUGUGAAAUAUGUA